rnacentral:rRNA from 1 species
UACGGGGGGGGCAAGCGUUGCUCGGAAUCACUGGGCGUAAAGGGUGCGUAGGCGGCUUGGUAAGUUGGGUGUGAAAGCCCCGGGCUCAGCCCGGGAAGGGCACUCGAAACUGCCGAGCUGGAGUGCCGGAGGGGAGAGUGGAAUUCCUGGUGUAGCGGUGAAAUGCGUAGAUAUCAGGAGGAACACCGGUGGCGAAGGCGGCUCUCUGGGCCUUACCUGACGCUGAGGAGCCGAAAGCGUGGGUAGCGAAACGG